rnacentral:rRNA from 1 species
AGCGAGCGCUGGCGGCAGGCCUAACACAUGCAAGUCGAGCGCCGUAGCAAUACGGAGCGGCAGACGGGAGAGUAACACGUGGGAACGUGCCCUUUGGUUCGGAACAACCCAGGGAAACUUGGGCUAAUACCGGAUAAGCCCUUACGGGGAAAGAUUUAUCGCCGAAGGAUCGGCCCGCGUCUGAUUAGCUAGUUGGUGGGGUAAUGGCCCACCAAGGCGACGAUCAGUAGCUGGUCUGAGAGGAUGAUCAGCCUCACUGGGACUGAGACACGGCCCAGACUCCUACGGGAGGCAGCAGUGGGGAAUAUUGGACAAUGGGCGCAAGCCUGAUCCAGCCAUGCCGCGUGGGUGAUGAAGGCCCUAGGGUUGUAAAGCCCUUUCGGCGGGGAAGAUAAUGACGGUACCCACAGAAGAAGCCCCGGCUAACUACGUGCCAGCCGCCGCGGUAA